rnacentral:tRNA from 1 species
GGGGAUAUAGCUCAGUUGGUAGAGUACAACGCUGGCAGCGUUGGUGUCAGCGGUUCGAAUCCGCUUAUCUCCA